rnacentral:rRNA from 1 species
CCUACGGGGUGCAGCAGUGAGGAAUAUUGGUCAAUGGACGAGAGUCUGAACCAGCCAAGUAGCGUGAAGGAUGACUGCCCUAUGGGUUGUAAACUUCUUUUAUAUGGGAAUAACAUGUUCCACGUGUGGGAUUUUGUAUGUACCAUAUGAAUAAGGAUCGGCUAACUCCGUGCCAGCAGCCGCGGUAAUACGGAGGAUCCGAGCGUUAUCCGGCUUUAUUGGGUUUAAAGGGAGCGUAGGUGGGUUGUUAAGUCAGUUGUGAAAGUUUGCGGCUCAACCGUAAAAUUGCAGUUGAAACUGGCAGGCUUGAGUACAGUAGAGGUGGGCGGAAUUCGUGGUGUAGCGGUGAAAUGCAUAGAUAGCACGAAGAACGCCGAUUGCGAAGGCAGUUCACUGGACUGCAACUGACGCUGAGGCACGAAAGCGUGGGGAUCGAACAGGAUUAGAUACCCCAGUAGUC